UCAUGAUCUAUUGAGUGUGGAAUAAUCACAUGAAUUCAAAGUGACAGGCUCAUUUGUGUUGAGUGAGAAAAAAGCAUCAAUGACACAUCUGCAUUAAUUCAUGUAUUAUUUCAUCAGGAUUUAUGCAUUACAUAGAUGUUAUUCAGCAUAUAUUCAUACACAGACAUAUUUAUUGUUUUAUUACUUUUGUCAUUUUUAGGUUAUUUCAGUGACUUAUAUAACAUUUUAUGUCUUAAACAGAGGGGUACCAGCAAUUUUCGAGCUGCAGUCUCCCGCAGGACAAGCUGAGAGCUUCCUGAGAGGCACAGCCUCUUUCCCUGACUCUACUUUUCUCACAGCAGACAGCCAUACAGGAGGAAAUUUUGUAUUAGGUAAUUUAUUUAAUUAAAAAUAUAUUUUUUUUUCUUGUGAUUUGUGAUGUUUUUAAUUUCCCAGAUCAAUGGUUGUACCAUAGAAGCUAAUACUGACCUCUACAACCUCUCCCUCUAACGACACCAGGCCCUGAUGCUCUUGGCACUGACCCAGUGCUACCUGUGGUGAGGCCGGAUGCAGUAGAGUCUCUGCUCUUACCUGAAGUUCCACAGGGCAGUGAAUUUUGCUGCCCUGGAAAAACUGUGUCCCGCUCCCAACAUUCUUUGUAAAAGGAGGCGACUUUCCCAUCAGGGUGUGGCCCUGCAUGUGAUAGGCUUCCCCCACACGCACUGGUAAGGCAUUUUGUUGUCUGCCUGUAUUAUAUUCAUUUUUUAACCCUUUAAGGGCCAAUUUAAGAC
rnacentral:lncRNA from 1 species